CAAGCAAGGAUCUUUUCCGGUUUCAAGAUUCCUAGUAACUUUUGAAUUUAGUCUUUUUGGAAGAACUUCAAGAAACAGUGACUUUGAAAGCCUGUGACUUACUCACAUCAAUAGAUGGAGAUAUGCUUAGGUUCAAAGCUUUCGUGGAUGUGGUCCGACUCCAUAGCAAGGGCAAAGUUAGUUCAGAGUUUUUACUUGAAGAUUUUGAGGCUUUUGGAUUUAAUCAUCUCAAGGAUCAGCUUCUUAUUGCUAUCAAAUCCAAAAGUUACUUCACCUCUCUUUUGUUUCGUGUGUUAAUGUGUAUUGGACUUUUGGUCUUGUUUUUCUCUCUAGUAAUAUAUGUCAAUAGUCUUAGUUUCCAAAUUUUCAAUGGUUCUUUUCAAUUCUCUUUUGACAGAUUUCAUAAAGGAACUAGAGAGAGAGCUGCUUCCCAAGAAGACAUUUGAUAGAUUUGCUUUUCAGCAUUCAGCCCGAGUGAAUGCUAUAGACCAGUUCAGUCUUGAAAUGGAUCAGGACUUGAGGACGACAGAGAUUGCUUAGCAAGCUGCUGACAAACAUCGUAAGAAGAUGGAGACCUAAAUUGUUCUCAUAGUUCAUCAAUAUUGAGAAACGCUAUGUUCAAUGACCGAUCUGCUUCUUUGUCAUGUGGUAUUGCACUCACGCUUACCUCGAGAAGAUUAUAUGAUUAGGUCUUGUUUGUUA